rnacentral:rRNA from 1 species
GUACACUCCUGCGGGAGGCAGCAGUGGGGAAUAUUGGACAAUGGGCGCAAGCCUGAUCCAGCCAUGCCGCGUGAGUGAUGAAGGCCCUAGGGUUGUAAAGCUCUUUCACCGGUGAAGAUAAUGACGGUAACCGGAGAAGAAGCCCCGGCUAACUUCGUGCCAGCAGCCGCGGUAAUAAGAAGGGGGCUAGCGUUGUUCGGAUUUACUGGGCGUAAAGCGCACGUAGGCGGACUAUUAAGUCAGGGGUGAAAUCCCGGGGCUCAACCCCGGAACUGCCUUUGAUACUGGUAGUCUUGAGUUCGAGAGAGGUGAGUGGAAUUCCGAGUGUAGAGGUGAAAUGCGUAGAUAUUCGGAGGAACACCAGUGGCGAAGGCGGCUCACUGGCUCGAUACUGACGCUGAGGUGCGAAAGCGUGGGGAGCAAACAGGAUUAGAAACCCCUGUAGUCC